UACGUAGGGUGCAAGCGUUGUCCGGAAUUAUUGGGCGUAAAGAGCUCGUAGGCGGUCUGUCGCGUCGGUCGUGAAAACUUGGGGCUUAACCCUGAGCUUGCGGUCGAUACGGGCAUGACUGGAGUUCGGUAGGGGAGACUGGAAUUCCUGGUGUAGCGGUGAAAUGUGCAGAUAUCAGGAGGAACACCGGUGGCGAAGGCAGAUCUCUGGGCCGUAACUGACGCUGAGGAGCGAAAGCAUGGGGAGCGAACAGG
rnacentral:rRNA from 1 species